rnacentral:lncRNA from 1 species
GUUGUUGUAAUUUUUGGAUAUAAACACUUCCACAACCAUAAAAUUUUUCAAGUUCUACAUGAACAUUUGACAAAAAAACAUUCUGCCAUUUGUUGUCUGAUUUAAAUAAUCUCCUUAUCCAUGUACACUUCAGUGCUAAAAUAAAUGCACUAAGAUUUAUCAUUUUGAGUCCACCAUCUUCAAUAUCAUUUUGUAAAACAUCUCUUUUAAUUCUAUCAAUUGGUGAACUCCAUAUAAAAUUGUACAUAAGUUGAAUAACAUUUUUUAAAAUAUCAUCACUUGGAUUUGGUAAGGAUAUAAAC